ACCUGGGAUAGCGCAGCUGGUAGAGCACGAGCCUCUUAAUCUCCAGGUCGUGGGUUUGAGCCCCAUGUUGGGCA